CUGCGUGUUGCCCAGUGUGCUGCCAGCUGCCCGUAGCCCACACCGGGCACACUCUGAUCGAUGGAGUCCCGCCCUCUGUGCUUGUGGAGGAGGACACAACAGCUGCAGAGGGGUGGUGUCGUGGCCAAGGUCGCACAGCUUUAGUGCCACAGCCAGACCCUCAGUGUCCUAUGUCCCCACCCGCCCCUGCUCACGUCUUCCUUUGUGCAGAAGAAGGAGAGAUGCAUCGAUGAGAGAGAAGCGUCGACUGUCUGCCUUUGUACACGCCCAGACCGGGGAUCGUAAGCCUCUGGACCAGGGGUCAUACACACCCGUCCCUGGACCAGGGAUGAACCUGCAACCUAGUCUCACCCGGUAAAACGCAGCGUCCUCCCAUUCUGUCUUGCUUGGUCGCCGGCGACGCUGACCUCCUGUCCUUAUGCCGUCCACUGAUCUUCGGGGGACCCUGAUGUUUCACUUAAACAGUCGUGCCUUCAUUUCAUACAGAAAAGAUAGGAACCCUUCAUCAUCGCUGCCAUGUGGAUUUUUGUAGCUUGUCGACUCUUUUAUUAAAAAAACAGUCAUUGGGACGUACAAACCAAAACAAUGGUGUGAGGCCGCCCCCUCCUGUUGGGGUGGCUGCUGUCAAAAACCCCAGAAAGUUCGUUUUGGGGAGGAUGAAGGGGGCGGGAACCCUCGAGCACUGUUCGUUAGUGGGGCUGUGAACUGGCCGGGCUGGGGAAAGA